GCAAGAUACCACGGGCGCACGGCGGAUGCCUUGGCACAGGGAGCCGAUGAAGGACGCGGCAAGCUGCGAUAAUCCCCGGCGAGGAGCACACAUCCUUCGACCCGGGGGUCUCCGAAUGGGCGAACCCAUGCACAGCAGUGUGCAUAUCCCCCCGCUGAACACAUAGGCGGGGGGAGGACAACCCGGGGAACUGAAACAUCUAAGUACCCGGAGGAGAGGAAAUCAAUCUCGAGACUCCCCGAGUAGCGGCGAGCGAAAGGGGACCGAUGGCCAAACCGUCGAGCGGGCAUACCCGGCAGGGGUUCCGCCGACGGGGUUGCAGGGCCGCGCAUCCGGGGGCUGCCGCCCCCGGGCGCAGGUCCGGCUGGGGAGCGGAACGGCAUGGGAGGGCCGGCCGCAGCGGGUGACAGCCCCGUACGCGAACCCAGACCGGACGGCGCGACGCGGUCCCUGAGUAGGGCCGGGCACGUGAAACCCGGUCCGAACCUGGGUGGACCACCAUCCAAGCCUGAGUACUACCCUGUGACCGAUAGCGCACCAGUACCGUGAGGGAAAGGUGAAAAGCACCCCGGGAGGGGAGUGAAACAGUACCUGAAACCGUGCGCCCACGAGCAGUCGGAGCACCUUUAUGGUGUGACGGCGUGCCUUUUGUAGAAUGAGCCAGCGAGUCGCUGGCGCGGGGCGAGGUUAACCGAAAGGGAGCCGGAGCGAAAGCGAGCCUUAACAGGGCGACUUGAGUCCCGCGCCGCGGACGCGAAGCCGGGUGAGCUAUCCGUGGGCAGGCUGAAGCGGGGGUAAGACCCCGUGGAGGGCCGAACGCACGUCGGUUGAAAACGGCGGCGAUGACCUGCGGAUAGGGGUGAAAGGCCAAUCAAACCCGGAGAUAUCUCGUUCUCCCCGAAAUAGCUUUAGGGCUAGCGUCGCGCGUUCACCGCCGGAGGUAGAGCACCGGAUGGACGAGGGGGCUUCGCCGCCUACCGAAUCCAACCGAACUCCGAAUGCCGGCGGCCCAGAGCGCGGCAGUCAGAGCAUGUGGGCUAAGCUGUGUGCUCGAGAGGGAAACAGCCCGGACCGCCCGCUAAGGUCCCCAAGUUCCAGCCGAGUGGCAAAGGAUGUGCGUCCGCCCAGACAACCAGGAUGUUGGCUUAGAAGCAGCCAUCCAUUCAAAGAGUGCGUAACAGCUCACUGGUCGAGUGGACAUGCGCCGACAAUACACGGGGCUAAGCUGGACACCGAAGCGGCGGGAUUUUAAUUCAUUAGAAUCGGUAGGGGAGCUUCCCAUGGGCGGAGAAGCCGGAGGGCGACCGACGGUGGAGCGCAUGGGAGUGAGAAUGCUGGCAUGAGUAGCGAGAGACGAGAGAGUAACUCGUCCGCCGUGAACCCGAGGUUUCCUGGGCAAGGCUAAUCCUCCCAGGGUCAGUCGGGGGCUAAGGCGAGGCCGGUAGGCGUAGCCGACGCGCAGCAGGCAGACAUUCCUGCACCGCGCACGCGGCGCUACGACCGACGGGGCGACGGAUGGGGGUGGCUCGGCGGGGUUCUGGACGUCCCCGUGAUGGAGCGCGGCCCGCGGACCAGGGAAAUCCGGUCCGCAGAAGGGCGAGGCUCCGGACGAAGCGACUGAGCGAAGCGAGUGAGCCCGAGGUCCCUAGAAAAACCCCUAGGCAGGCGCGUGCGCGCCCGUACCGCAAACCGACACAGGUGGGUGGGUAGAACAUACCGAGGCGAUCGGGUCAACCAUGGUCAAGGAACUCGGCACAAUGGCCCCGUAACUUCGGGAGAAGGGGUGCCCGCGCGUACGUGAACCGGCUUGCCCGGGGAGCGGAGGCGGGCCGCAGUGGAGAGGCCCAAGCGACUGUUUACCAAAAACACAGGACUCUGCAGAAGCCGCAAGGCGACGUAUAGGGUCUGACGCCUGCCCGGUGCCGGAAGGUCACGCGGAGGAGUUAGCGCAUCGCGCGAAGCCCCGAAGCCAAGCCCCGGUAAACGGCGGCCGUAACUAUAACGGUCCUAAGGUAGCGAAAUUCCUUGUCGGGUAAGUUCCGACCUGCACGAAAGGCGCAACGACUUGGGCGCUGUCUCGACCAUGGACCCGGUGAAAUUGCACUGGUCGUGAAGAUGCGACUUACCCGCGGAAGGACGGAAAGACCCCGUGAACCUUCACUGCAGCUUGGCAUUGGCCGCUGGUCCCGCGUGUAGAGGAUAGGCAGGAGGCAUCGAUCCGGAGGCGCCAGCCCCCGGGGAGCCGCCCUUGGAAUACUGCCCUCGCGCGACCGGCGUCCUAACCCGAGGCCGUCAACCGGCUCGGGGACCUGUCUCUUAUACACAUCUCCGAGCCCACGAGACUA
rnacentral:rRNA from 1 species